AUAGCAGAAGCGAAAACAAGCAGAAGUCUUUUUGGCGCAAACGUUAUUAUUGAGUGUUGAAAUGUGUAAAGCUGAUGUAACAGACUAACAGAGGCAAAGGGAUGAAGAUAAGUGAAGAUAGAAAAAGAUGAAAGAAAAAAGAAACAGAAAAAGAGAAUAAGACAAGAAAAAAUCGAUAUUGGGUUAACAGAAGAGAAGUAAAAUUUAACCAAAAAUUGACUCUUUGAUUUCAAUUUAAUAAAUUCACUUUGGUGUAAACAGAUAAUAAAAGGUACAAUUCACUAGAUGAAUAAAAAUUGACUAUUGUGAGUAUCAAAGUCCAAGUUGAAAGUAAAUGAAUUUAACCCAAAGUUGACGGUUUAAACCAACAACUGCAACUGAAAAAUAAGGCGAAUCAAGUUCCCGCUUCUUUCUCUCUCCUCCUUCGCUCUCUUUCUCUUUCUUUCUCCCUCUUUCCUCUCUUUUUCUCUUUAAUUUUCCCUUUCUCUCUUUGAACAGUUGUUUUUCAAAUGGUCUUUUGAUACUAAAUCUUGACUUUUUUAUUUUAUAAUUUUGACACUUUUUAUAAUUUCAUGAUCGUUAUCAUCUGUUUUUUUUCUUGCUCUCUAGUAUUCAUGAACAUGGCUUUUUAAUUUACCCAAUUAACUAGAUGUCGGACAAGCUAAUCACAGUCUAAUUUCAUCCUGUCCAGCGCAAUCAUCAAAUCUUGAAGAAGGAUUGUUAUAUGGAUUGACCAAGCUCCAUUAUCGUCUGACUUUGUUUUAUUUCUGGCAAAAGAGAAUCACCAAUUUUGUCAAUGCGAUUAUUCACCUCACCUCUUUCACCAUUAAAUCCGUUAAUGAAAGUGUCCUUUUUGAUGAUGAUCGUGAAAGCUCAAAUUAGAGAUUUCUUACAUUCUGUUUAUUUUUCAUUCAAAUUCACCCACUCUCCUGGCGUAAAUCUUGAAAAUCAGUAGCAGCCUUAAACAUAAACAACAAGAUUAAUGGAAAAUAGGAUUCCACUUUUUCUCAAUCUCAAUUAUCUUGUUAUUCCUGUCAACAUUAUCUUCUUUCAUCAAUUGUAACGCUGCCCGUGGUGAUCAUUAUCGGUAUCAUAACAAUCUUGCAUCCCAUGCAUGGACCACACAAUUUACGUAUCAACUGUCCGACAUUGUAUUAAUAAAUGGAAUGGUUUAUAAUGGUUAAUCAAAGCUAUUGAUCGGCUAUCAUCAACGGUAUCAACUGCCAUCUUUUACCAUAUUAAUCCAAGUCAACAUUUUGAAUUUUCUUGAUUCAGAAAAAAAGGCUAAUUCUUGAUUCCACACAAUGAAUGUUUAUUUUUCAAAACGGUUGACCUUCAAUUACUCCAAACAAAUGCACAAUUGUAGCAAAAGUUUCUCAGCCAUCCGAUUCUCAAUGUUUAGUUAUUCAUUUCAAUCCACCGAGGGAACAGGUCAGCCGUAAGCCUGGCCUUGAACAUGAUAUCAAAUCAUACAAAUCAUUUAAACACGCAGUGUACACUUACUCAAUCAUUAAAGAUUCAUCAUCAUGUUUCCAAAGUGAGUUUGACAGUUAUAUUUGAAAUAAAUGAUGAAGACUGCAAACUUGCUAAUAAUUUUGCGCCUCAUUUAGUUAAAGAAAUUUAAACUCGAAAUUUUUCUCGAAUCAACUCAUCCAAAACAAUUUUACCUCUACUUAGACCAAUUGCAAUCAAAUUGAUAAAGAUUUUUAAAUUUGGCCACAAUGAACAGAUUGAACCAAGAAAUGGCUUGAUUACCUGUCCAUUUGAUUGUUUGACCUGAAAAUAGUUUCUUUACAAUUUCUGCUCUCGUUCAAUGAUAAAUCACCAAAUUGAUUUCCUGCUAUUGUAAAAAAUUAUUAUUCCUGGUCAAUUAAUUUUAUCGUAAAAUGCUAACCCAGAAUAUCAAUCAAUUUUGGUUGAUGCAAUUUAAACGAGCGUUAACUCUGAUGAAAUGGAAAGCCAGUUGAAUUUAAAUUGCUGUUAAAAUAUACAACUAGAUGGCCAAUUGAGGAUCUUGUUAAUUGUUUUCAAUGCUCAUCCAAUAAUAUUGAUAAUUUGAUGGUAAAAUUUAAAGUAAUCCGAUGUUUGCAAAUGGUCAAGGAACCUUGAAGAGCCAAUGUUUAUCCAGUCUGUUCAAUUGAAGCACAUCAAACUUGGAAUCGAUCAAUUCAAUGCUUGUCUAACUUCAUUAACUAAUAUACACGACAUACUCUAAUCAGUUAUGAUAAUAAAAAAUGUGGAUAUAACAAGCGACUUUGGCGGAGCAAUACAAAACGUCUUCCACAUCAUUUGUAUCCUCAUCUCUUCUCUAACAGUUUUCUUCAUGGUUUUAGCUGGGCCUUUCUCAACCAAAUUACCAGGAUUCUCAUUAAAUGAUUUAGAAGCCUAUUCCAUUUACAUGUUCCUCUAAAACAACACACAAAAUAUGAUCCAUCUUUCAUUCUUUUCUCACAACAUUCAGCAAAAAAAAUGAAAAGACAAAGAAGGCCACUUUUUCAACUGUAAUGUGAUUCUUAAAAGUUCAAAAGGGAUCAAGCUUUAAUUGAAAAUACAUUUACUACGGGGUAAAAUGAUGCUGAUAAAUAACUUGAAACUAGUAUGGACCAAUAUGUUAUUCCUGUUUCAUGACAAGGAGAAAGCUUUCAACUGUUGCAAAUUUUAGGAUAAUCAUCAUUCAUCUUGAUACCAAGACAAAAAUUGAAUAUUUAAAGAAUCACAAUUAUUUGAAGGGGAAAAAGAAUGAUCACAAUGGUAAUCAUGGUGAAGCUGAAAUCGGCCAGAAUGAUGAAUCCUUCUUAACCAGUUGUUGCUGUUGUUAUAUUUAUGUUUGUUAAAAGUCAUCAGGAGGAGGGCGGACAAUAAUACUGCACAAAAUUUUAAGCACAAUUAAAGAAAGCAAGUCAAAAAAAGUAUGAUCAUAUUAAUAAUGGUGGAAAAGGAUGAAAAGCUUCAAUUGAUGGAUUAAUGGUUGACUCUAAAGACUGGACCGGAUAGUUACAAUAUCAUAUGACUUAUUCAGAAAAGAGAUGAAACAGAAUAAGGUCAACUUCUCCACCCUGACCGACUGCUUAACCAACCAAACACACCAUUCUCUUAUCUUAGUCUUCUUUUUUUGCUUUUUACUGUCUCUCUCUUACAUAUAUCAUCAGUAUCAUCUUUAUUUCAUACUGAUCGCCAUCAAAAUUCAAUGUCAUCCUACUCGUUUGGUGAAUGCUUUAUAUAUUAUUAAGUAUAAAUCAUUUUUAGCAGCGCCUUCAGUAGCGCCCGAACCACAAACCGAUAUUGUUAUGGCUGCUGAUACUACUUCUGGGGCUGUCAAUUUUUGAUUAUUAGCAUUAUUAUUUUCUGUAUUACCAUUAUUAUGAUUAUGAUCAUGUUGAUGGUUGAGCCUUGAUGAUUCAAGCUUCACCCUCCUACUGUGUAUUAUUAUCCUUAUUAUUAUAUUAUAUGUAAACAAUAUAAGUUCAAUGGCCGGAUAACAAGAUCAACACCCAAAUGUUAGUGCUAUUUUCAGUGAGACAACAAAAAAUGAAGGUGAAGAGGACGAAUAGCGGCUCUUUUUCCCAGUCGAUUACAAGCAAAGCGCCUCAACAAUUGGUCUUUAUUUAAUAGCAUUACGAUUGUGUCUAAAUAUUGUCAGAUGCGUUUUAUUCAAACGUUUGUCAACAUUUGGGUAAACAGUUUACCCAAUUUUACUUGGUAACUGUGUAGCACCAAUUUGUUGAACAUCCGGCAACAAUUUAUCCACAAUUUAACAGUUAAUCAACAAAAUUCAACAAUUUCAUUUCAUUCAAACCUUAAACAAUUGAUUUUCCCAAAUAUCAAAGUUUACAUUUUUCAAAUCUCAUCAAUUUGCUGAUAAUUUACGGAUUCAAUUUCACCAGUAGCUUCUUGUUUUACACCUGAGUAUUUUUCAUUUCAAGCAAUCUCUAAAUUCAUCAAUAUUGCUUAUUGAUUGACUCUAACACAUUGUACAGAAAUUAUAAUUUACAGUUUACUUGAAAUAAUUAAAUGUUAGACUUGGUUACAGUUUGUUAUUGAUUUACUUUUU